rnacentral:rRNA from 1 species
UACGUAGGGGGUAAGCGUUGUCCGGAAUUAUUGGGCGUAAAGCGCGUGUAGGCGGCCAGAUAAGUCCGCUGUGAAAUCUCGAGGCUCAACUUCGAGCUGUCGGUGGAAACUGUCUGGCUAGAGUCCGGAAGAGGAGAAUGGAAUUCCUGGUGUAGCGGUGAAAUGCGCAGAUAUCAGGAAGAACACCCGUGGCGAAGGCGGUUCUCUGGGACGGUACUGACGCUGAGACGCGAAAGCGUGGGGAGCGAACAGG